rnacentral:rRNA from 2 species
ACGGGAGGCAGCAGUGGGGAAUAUUGCACAAUGGGCGAAAGCCUGAUGCAGCGACGCCGCGUGAGCGAUGAAGUAUUUCGGUACGUAAAGCUCUAUCAGCAGGGAAGAUAAUGACGGUACCUGACUAAGAAGCCCCGGCUAACUACGUGCCAGCAGCCGCGGUAAUACGUAGGGGGCAAGCGUUAUCCGGAUUUACUGGGUGUAAAGGGAGCGUAGGCGGCGUGGCAAGUCAGAAGUGAAAGCCCGGGGCUCAACCCCGGGACUGCUUUUGAAACUGUCAUGCUAGAGUGUCGGAGAGGUAAGUGGAAUUCCUAGUGUAGCGGUGAAAUGCGUAGAUAUUAGGAGGAACACCAGUGGCGAAGGCGGCUUACUGGACGAUAACUGACGCUGAGGCUCGAAAGCGUGGGGAGCAAACAGGAUUAGAUACCCUGGUA